CAAUUGUCAAUAAUAGCACAUUUUGAAGUUUAUGUCUCAAAAAUAGCACUAGAAGGAGAAAGUCACAAAAAUGACAUUCAUUAAAGGGUAAAAUAUCCCUAAUGCCAUUGGUUUAAAAUUAAAUAAACAAACAAAAAUAAAUAAAAUAAAAAUAAAAAAAAAAAUUUUUUUUUAUAGUUUCAGAUUAUAUGUUUUCAGAUUCGAAAUUUUUAUAAUUUUUGUUUGAAAUUUUUUUUUGAAAUAGUUUUUUAUUUUUUUAAAUCUUAUUUUUAUAAUUUAAAAAUACUUUUUGAAACUGUUUUUUAAAUUUUUAUUUUUUAUUUUAGUAUUUAUUUUUUAUAAAAUUUUAAACCCUAAUUCCAAAACCCCUCCCCUUGACUCUAAACUCUAAGGUUUGGAUUAAUUAACCCAAGGGGUAUAAGUGUAUAUUUACCUAUUUAAUGAAACCUAUUUUUGUGACUUUGAGCCUUGAGUGCUACUUUGGGGACAAAAACUUGGUUUGGUGCUAUCCUAAUCUUUUUCUCUUCUAAGAAUCAUCCUAGUGAUGACACAUGAUUAUAAAAACAUGUUGUAAACUUCUAAUGCUCCAGGAUUAAUAUAUAGAGAAUGUUUGAAUUUAUAUUAUUUAUUAUUUUGUAAGUUAUAGAGAUAUGAUUGGAGUCCCAAAAUUAAAGUUGUAAUCAACAAGUUUAUUUAUUAUUAUCAAAGUAAAAGUGUACUGGAUAAAGUUUAUAUUAUAAUCUUACUUUAAUCUUAUCAAAUUAUUAUUGCCUUUUUCAAAUAUAGAAUUUUACUGUAUGGUUUUAUAAUAGGGCAAUUCUCCUAAAUAGAUUUUUUAAGUUUUUGUCAUAAAAAGAUUUCUAAA
rnacentral:lncRNA from 1 species